rnacentral:rRNA from 1 species
GAACAUUAGAGUUUGAUCCUGGCUCAGGACGAACGCUGGCGGCGUGCUUAACACAUGCAAGUCGAGCGGUAAGGCCCUUUCGGGGGUACACGAGCGGCGAACGGGUGAGUAACACGUGGGUGACCUGCCCUCAGCUCUGGGAUAAGCCUGGGAAACCGGGUCUAAUACUGGAUAUGACUCCAUGACGCAUGUUGUGGGGUGGAAAGCCUUGUGCGGCUGAGGAUGGGCCCGCGGCCUAUCAGCUUGUUGGUGGGGUGAUGGCCUACCAAGGCGACGACGGGUAGCCGGCCUGAGAGGGCGACCGGCCACACUGGGACUGAGACACGGCCCAGACUCCUACGGGAGGCAGCAGU